CAUAGUAAUACUUAUUUAAAAAUUCAUUCUAAAUUCAAAGUUGAGACAAUAAACACCAUUAAAUUUUGUGUUCCUUUAAGCUGAAAUUAGAGAAACCAGCCGGGCUUCAUUGUGUUUACACUUUGUAUGGAGUGAAAUAAUUCUUCCUGGUAAUCAUAUUUCAAAAUCAUCACAGUUCCUUGUACAACACUAAGUCAAGAGAUACAUCAUAAGUCUCUAACAUCGCAUCUAGUCAUCAGCUGCGAAAAGUGAAGAAAUUUUGAGUGGAAUUCUAAAUUCAAAUUCUCACACUCCACAUCCAGUCUUCAGCUGUGAGAGGUGAAGAAAUUUUGAGUGGAAUCCUCUAAAUUCAAAUUCUCACACUCCACAUCCAGUCUUCAGCUGUGAGAAGUGAAGAAAUUUAAGAUUUCUUACUAAGAGAAGAUCUGAUUGGAGCUUACGAAAAUAGAAGAAAGGCUGAGCUUGUCCCAGGCGCUACUGACCCUAGACACGGCCCUGCCCUGGCUAUAGGGAUGCCCAGAAGGGGAGCAGGAUGUCCUAAUGUGUGCAGGAUGGGGGAUGGCAAUAAUAAAUAAUAUUAUUGGGAAGUGUAUUUUUAUUGUCAUAUAGGUAGUAGUCAAUUCAGUGCAGUAUGGUUAGAUUGAGCAUCGGAGACGUACCGACACCCGCCGCAUAUAUGUACUCCUUGAAAUAAGGGCCUCACAGAAAUAAAAUUUAAUGAAUAUU